GAGUCACCUUAUGAGAACAAGACCAGGACAGCUGGAUCACAGACCUGCAAACCAGGCUUGGGCAAGAGCCUCAUGAUUUGUUUCCAAUGGAAGCCACCAGCAGAUGAUUUGGGGGAAGAUGAGAAGACCCACAGCUGAACAGGACCUCUGUCUACUCUCUGAGUUGGGACCCUUUCUAAGAAUGAAUCAUACAAGUAACUCCUCUUUUCUUCCAUAGCUCAACACUUUGUACUUAUCAAAUUUGAGUUUUGUGUGCCAUCAGCCUGCCCAGGGGAUGCUGCCCAACUGAGUCUUCUGAAAUUCUUUCUAGGCCUCUCUAACCCUCACAUAAAUAACCUGUAAUCUACUGAUUUUGCCGCUCUCUUGUCAAAUUUUUUUUUUCCAGA